GAAAUGCGAUAAGUAGUGUGAAUUGCAGAAUUCAGUGAAUCAUCGAAUCUUUGAACGCACAUUGCGCCCCUUGGUAUUCCAUGGGGCAUGCCUGUUCGAGCGUCAUUUGUACCCUCAAGCUCUGCUUGGUGUUGGGUGUUUGUCCCCGUCUCCGCGCGUUGACUCGCCCCAAAGUGAUUGGCAGCCGGCGUACUGGUCCCGGAGCGCAGCACAUGUCGCGCAAACGAGUGCCUUGGUACGGCGGCGUCCAUGAGCCCCUCUCUCACGCUCUUGACCUCGGAUCAGGUAGGGAUACCCGCUGAACUUAAGC
rnacentral:misc_RNA from 1 species